rnacentral:rRNA from 1 species
AGAGUUUGAUCAUGGCUCAGGACGAACGCUGGCGGCGCGCCUAACACAUGCAAGUCGAACGAGAGAGAGGGAGCUUGCUUCCUCGAUCGAGUGGCGAACGGGUGAGUAACGCGUGAGGAACCUGCCUCAAAGAGGGGGACAACAGUUGGAAACGACUGCUAAUACCGCAUAAGCCCACGGCUCGGCAUCGAGCAGAGGGAAAAGGAGCAAUCCGCUUUGAGAUGGCCUCGCGUCCGAUUAGCUAGUUGGUGAGGUAACGGCCCACCAAGGCGACGAUCAGUAGGGGUUCUGAGAGGAAGGUCCCCCACAUUGGAACUGAGACACGGUCCAAACUCCUACGGGAGGCAGCA